rnacentral:rRNA from 1 species
CAUGCAAGUCGAGGGGAAACGACAUCGAAAGCUUGCUUUUGAUGGGCGUCGACCGGCGCACGGGUGAGUAACGCGUAUCCAACCUGCCCACCACUUGGGGAUAACCUUGCGAAAGUAAGACUAAUACCCAAUGAUAUCUCUAGAAGACAUCUGAAAGAGAUUAAAGAUUUAUCGGUGAUGGAUGGGGAUGCGUCUGAUUAGCUUGUUGGCGGGGUAACGGCCCACCAAGGCGACGAUCAGUAGGGGUUCUGAGAGGAAGGUCCCCCACAUUGGAACUGGGACACGGUCCAAACUCCUACGGGAGGCAGCAGUGAGGAAUAUUGGUCAAUGGACGAGAGUCUGAACCAGCCAAGUAGCGUGCAGGAUGACGGCCCUAUGGGUUGUAAACUGCUUUUAUAAGGGAAUAAAGUGAGUCUCGUGAGACUUUUUGCAUGUACCUUAUGAAUAAGGACCGGCUAAUUCCGUGCCAGCAGCCGCGGUAAUACGGAAGGUCCGGGCGUUAUCCGGAUUUAUUGGGUUUAAAGGGAGCGUAGGCCGGAGAUUAAGCGUGUUGUGAAAUGUAGAUGCUCAACAUCUGCACUGCAGCGCGAACUGGUUUCCUUGAGUACGCACAAAGUGGGCGGAAUUCGUGGUGUAGCGGUGAAAUGCUUAGAUAUCACGAAGAACUCCGAUUGCGAAGGCAGCUCACUGGAGCGCAACUGACGCUGAAGCUCGAAAGUGCGGGUAUCGAACAGGAUUAGAUACCCUGGUAGUCCGCACGGUAAACGAUGGAUGCCCGCUGUUGGUCUGAAUAGGUCAGCGGCCAAGCGAAAGCAUUAAGCAUCCCACCUGGGGAGUACGCCGGCAACGGUGAAACUCAAAGGAAUUGACGGGGGCCCGCACAAGCGGAGGAACAUGUGGUUUAAUUCGAUGAUACGCGAGGAACCUUAC